GCAAGUCGAGCGGACAGAUGGGAGCUUGCUCCCUGAUGUUAGCGGCGGACGGGUGAGUAACACGUGGGUAACCUGCCUGUAAGACUGGGAUAACUCCGGGAAACCGGGGCUAAUACCGGAUGGUUGUUUGAACCGCAUGGUUCAAACAUAAAAGGUGGCUUCGGCUACCACUUACAGAUGGACCCGCGGCGCAUUAGCUAGUUGGUGAGGUAACGGCUCACCAAGGCAACGAUGCGUAGCCGACCUGAGAGGGUGAUCGGCCACACUGGGACUGAGACACGGCCCAGACUCCUACGGGAGGCAGCAGUAGGGAAUCUUCCGCAAUGGACGAAAGUCUGACGGAGCAACGCCGCGUGAGUGAUGAAGGUUUUCGGAUCGUAAAGCUCUGUUGUUAGGGAAGAACAAGUACCGUUCGAAUAGGGCGGUACCUUGACGGUACCUAACCAGAAAGCCACGGCUAACUACGUGCCAGCAGCCGCGGUAAUACGUAGGUGGCAAGCGUUGUCCGGAAUUAUUGGGCGUAAAGGGCUCGCAGGCGGUUUCUUAAGUCUGAUGUGAAAGCCCCCGGCUCAACCGGGGAGGGUCAUUGGAAACUGGGGAACUUGAGUGCAGAAGAGGAGAGUGGAAUUCCACGUGUAGCGGUGAAAUGCGUAGAGAUGUGGAGGAACACCAGUGGCGAAGGCGACUCUCUGGUCUGUAACUGACGCUGAGGAGCGAAAGCGUGGGGAGCGAACAGGAUUAGAUACCCUGGUAGUCCACGCCGUAAACGAUGAGUGCUAAGUGUUAAGGGGGUUUCCGCCCCUUAGUGCUGCAGCUAACGCAUUAAGCACUCCGCCUGGGGGAGUACGGUCGCAAGAC
rnacentral:rRNA from 1 species